rnacentral:rRNA from 1 species
CCUACGGGGUGCAGCAGUGAGGAAUAUUGGUCAAUGGACGAGAGUCUGAACCAGCCAAGUAGCGUGAAGGAUGACUGCCCUAUGGGUUGUAAACUUCUUUUAUAUGGGAAUAAAAUGUUCCACGUGUGGGAUUUUGUAUGUACCAUAUGAAUAAGGAACGGCUAACUCCGUGCCAGCAGCCGCGGUAAUACGGAGGAUCCGAGCGUUAUCCGGAUUUAUUGGGUUUAAAGGGAGCGUAGGUGGAUUGUUAAGUCAGUUGUGAAAGUUUGCGGCUCAACCGUAAAAUUGCAGUUGAAACUGGCAGUCUUGAGUACAGUAGAGGUGGGCGGAAUUCGUGGUGUAGCGGUGAAAUGCUUAGAUAUCACGAAGAACUCCGAUUGCGAAGGCAGUUCACUGGACUGCAACUGACACUGAGGCUCGAAAGUGUGGGUAUCAAACAGGAUUAGAUACCCGAGUAGUC